rnacentral:piRNA from 1 species
UGCCUUAGUUGCCUCUAUAUCGUUUGGUCC